rnacentral:rRNA from 1 species
GACGAACGCUGGCGGCGUGCUUAACACAUGCAAGUCGAACGGAAAGGCCCUGCUUUUGUGGGGUGCUCGAGUGGCGAACGGGUGAGUAACACGUGAGUAACCUGCCCUUGACUUUGGGAUAACUUCAGGAAACUGGGGCUAAUACCGGAUAGGAGCUCCUGCUGCAUGGUGGGGGUUGGAAAGUUUCGGCGGUUGGGGAUGGACUCGCGGCUUAUCAGCUUGUUGGUGGGGUAGUGGCUUACCAAGGCUUUGACGGGUAGCCGGCCUGAGCGGGUGACCGGCCACAUUGGGACUGAGAGACGGCCCAGACUCCUACGGGAGGCAGCAGUGGGGAAUAUUGCACAAUGGGCGGAAGCCUGAUGCAGCAACGCCGCGUGCGGGAUGACGGCCUUCGGGUUGUAAACCGCUUUCGCCUGCGACGAAGCGUGAGUGACGGUAAUGGGUAAAGAAGCACCGGCUAACUACGUG